UACGUAGGGGGCAAGCGUUGUCCGGAUUUAUUGGGCGUAAAGAGCGUGUAGGCGGCUAGGUAGGUCCGUUGUGAAAACUCGAGGCUCAACCUCGAGACGUCGAUGGAAACCAUCUAGCUAGAGUCCGGAAGAGGAGAGUGGAAUUCCUGGUGUAGCGGUGAAAUGCGCAGAUAUCAGGAAGAACACCCGUGGCUAAGGCGGCUCUCUAGUACGGUACUGACGCUGAGACGCGAAAGCGUGGGGAGCGAACAGG
rnacentral:rRNA from 1 species